rnacentral:tRNA from 1 species
GGAACCGUGGUGUAGUCGGUUAACACACCGGCCUGUCAAGCCGGAGAUCGCGGGUUCAAGUCCCGUCGGUUCCGCCA